rnacentral:rRNA from 1 species
GACGAACGCUGGCGGCGUGCUUAACACAUGCAAGUCGAACGGUGACGAGGAGCUUGCUCCUCUGAUCAGUGGCGAACGGGUGAGUAACACGUGAGCAACCUGCCCCAGACUCUGGGAUAACAGUUGGAAACAGCUGCUAAUACCGGAUACGAGACGGAGAGGCAUCUCUACCGUCUGGAAAGUUUUUCGGUCUGGGAUGGACUCGCGGCCUAUCAGCUAGUUGGUGAGGUAAUGGCUCACCAAGGCGACGACGGGUAGCCGGCCUGAGAGGGCGACCGGCCACACUGGACUGAGACACGGCCCAGACUCCUACGGGAGGCAGCAGUGGGGAAUAUUGCACAAUGGGCGAAAGCCUGAUGCAGCGACGCCGCGUGAGGGAUGACGGCCUUCGGGUUGUAAACCUCUUUCAGCAGGGAAGAAGCGAAAGUGACGGUACCUGCAGAAGAAGCACCGGCUAACUACGUGCCAGCAGCCGCGGUAAUACGUAGGGUGCGAGCGUUGUCCGGAAUUAUUGGGCGUAAAGAGCUUGUAGGCGGUUUGUCGCGUCUGCAGUGAAAAUCCGAGGCUCAACCUCGGACUUGCUGUGGGUACGGGCAGACUAGAGUAUGGUAGGGGAGACCGGAAUUCCUGGUGUAGCGGUGGAAUGCGCAGAUAUCAGGAGGAACACCGAUGGCGAAGGCAGGUCUCUGGGCCAUAACUGACGCUGAGAAGCGAAAGCAUGGGGAGCGAACAGGAUUAGAUACCCUGGUAGUCCAUGCCGUAAACGUUGGGCGCUAGGUGUGGGGCUCAUUCCACGAGCUCCGUGCCGCAGCUAACGCAUUAAGCGCCCCGCCUGGGGAGUACGGCCGCAAGGCUAAAACUCAAAGGAAUUGACGGGGGCCCGCACAAGCGGCGGAGCAUGCGGAUUAAUUCGAUGCAACGCGAAGAACCUUACCAAGGCUUGACAUAUACCGGAAACAUCCAGAGAUGGGUGCCCCGCAAGGUCGGUAUACAGGUGGUGCAUGGUUGUCGUCAGCUCGUGUCGUGAGAUGUUGGGUUAAGUCCCGCAACGAGCGCAACCCUCGUUCUAUGUUGCCAGCGCGUAAUGGCGGGGACUCAUAGGAGACUGCCGGGGUCAACUCGGAGGAAGGUGGGGAUGACGUCAAAUCAUCAUGCCCCUUAUGUCUUGGGCUUCACGCAUGCUACAAUGGCCGGUACAAAGGGCUGCGAUACCGCGAGGUGGAGCGAAUCCCAAAAAACCGGUCUCAGUUCGGAUUGGGGUCUGCAACUCGACCCCAUGAAGUCGGAGUCGCUAGUAAUCGCAGAUCAGCAACGCUGCGGUGAAUACGUUCCCGGGCCUUGUACACACCGCCCGUCAAGUCACGAAAGUCGGUAACACCCGAAGCCGGUGGCCCAACCCUUGUGGAGGGAGCCGUCGAAGGUGGGACUGGCGAUUGGGACU